rnacentral:rRNA from 1 species
GAUGAACGCUGGCGGCGUGCCUAAUACAUGCAAGUCGAGCGCAAAAGGGAUUGCUUGCAAUCCCUGGAAGAACGGCGGACGGGUGAGUAACACGUAGGCAACCUACCCCAAACUCUGGGAUACCUACUGGAAACAGUAGUUAAUACCGGAUAAGCUGAUAAUGUCGCAUGGCAUAUUCAGAAAAGAUUUAUUGGUUUGGGAUGGGCCUGCGUCUGAUUAGCUAGUUGGUGGGGUAAAGGCCUACCAAGGCGACGAUCAGUAGCCGGCCUGAGAGGGUGAUCGGCCACACUGGGACUGAGACACGGCCCAGACUCCUACGGGAGGCAGCAGUACGGAAUAUUGCACAAUGGGGGAAACCCUGAUGCAGCAACGCCGCGUGAAGGAAGAAGGUUUUCGGAUCGUAAACUUCUUUAGUCUGGGAAGAAAAAAAUGACGGUACCAGAAGAAUAAGCCCCGGCUAACUACGUGCCAGCAGCCGCGGUAAUACGUAGGGGGCAAGCGUUAUCCGGAAUUACUGGGUGUAAAGGGUGAGUAGGCGGUUCUUUAAGUCAUAAGUGAAAGCCUUGGGCUUAACCCAAGCGAGCUUAAGAAACUGUAGAACUAGAGUAUGGGAGAGGUAAGUGGAAUUCCUAGUGUAGCGGUGAAAUGCGUAGAUAUUAGGAGGAACACCAGUGGCGAAGGCGACUUACUGGACCAAAACUGACGCUGAGUCACGAAAGCGUGG